CUGUGGAACCAGCUCCAGUUGUGGUUCGGGAGGCAGACACCCUCACCACAUUCAAGAGUAGGCUUAAGACAUUCCUCUUGAUAAAGCUUAUAGUUAGGGCUGGAUCAGGUGAGUCCUGAACCAUCCCUUAGUUAUGCUGCUAUAGGCCUAGACUAUCGGGGGAUUUCCCAUGGUGCACUGAGCUCCUCUCUUCCUCUCUCUUUCUGCACUCAUUCAUGUCCCAUUAAUGCAUGUUACUAACUUCACUUCUUCCCCGGAGUUCUUGUGCUUUCUCGUCUCGCAGGUUCUCAUGGAUCCUGGUGGAGCCUCCUGCCAUGGUCCAGUGUUAAUUCUGACAGCAAAUUCUGAUUUAGUCUCAGUCUUAGUCUUUUGAAUAACACACCAUUUAGUUUUAGUCAUAUUUUAGUCAUCUGAAAUCUUUUAGUAUUAGUAUUAGUUUUAGUCGACUAAAUAUCAUAAGAGUUUUAGUCUUAGUCUAGUCUUAAGUCUUUUAGUCUUAGUCUAGUUUUAGUAGACCAAAUAUUAGCAGAUUUUAGUCGACUAAAUCACGGUGGUUUAUCUGAUAAAAUAAAUGUAUAUGUAUGCUAACCUUCACAUGUAUUUCUGGAUGAAUCGUCUGUAAAUGUUACUUCAAGUUGGUGGUGUUUUUACACACGGUUUACGGACGGUCUUGUUGUCCUUGUUGUCAUUUGAGAAGUAGAGGUGGGCGAUAUAUAUCGUUUGCGAUAAUAUCGUCAUUGUUGUUUUGACGAUGUGCAAAUUUCCAUUAUCGAGUAUUUAAAUUACUUCGCCAAAAAUAUUGAAACACACGCAGAAACUCCUCACAUCCAUUAAUACAUGGUGCAGCAACGCUCUCUACAGCAUGGCAGGAUUCAGUCACACAACUAGUGGGCCUACGUGAUCACAUAACGUGAUCACGUGACCUCUCGCUAGCAUCCUCCUUGCAACAGUUUAGCAGCGCAUUGUGAUGUUAGAGAGAAAAUACAAGCACCUGCAGUCCCUGAAGCUACCGGUACUUCAGAUGAUUUAGUACCGAGGCGUGGGUCUACCUCUCUGGCAUGGAAAUGGUUUAGUUUCGUAAAGACAUUUUUAGCGCAGCGCUCAGAGCACUUCAAGUUGAAAUCUGUUCAACUUCUAACACCGCUGGGCGCUCAGAAAAUGAGUUUUUGAGCUCUUAGCGCUAAAAACGCGUUUGCUGGACACAAGCCCUAACUCAGACAAUUCCAAUCACAUUUUAAAGGAUAUCGACUGAUUAUCGUUAUCGCCAAAAUCCCCAAAAAUAACGAGAUAUUAUUUUUCGCCCAUACCGCCCACCCCUAAUGUGAAGUGUGACCAGAUGUCAAUUCUUCGUUUUCGUCCUAGACCCAGCUCUGACAUUUCUGUUGUUCAUGAGACAUGCCAUUGCCGUCGGACCGGGUGCACUGCAAAACGUUAGCGUGUUGCUAACAAGCGAAGUCAACUGAAAUCAGCCAAAGCUGUGUAACUAAGACUGUGCAACUAAACACAACUAAAUAUAAUGUAAACAACUGAACUGUUGUGAAAACGUCCUUGAAACUGUGCGAAGUUCUGCAAACUCGUCUUUGUUCUCCUCCUGUGUAACUGCUGCUGCGUUUGUUUAGCUGUUGCGCCUGCAUUUGCCGCAGGCAAAGCAUGCUGCUUCUGUAUAGAUCGACCUACCCUCAAAGACUCGCUCUGAUUGGAUUUCUUCCCAACUUGUCCCACAAGAAGAGUAGUUCUGAUUGGAUCUCUUCUCCAUUCGUCCCUCCCUAACAUUUUCGUCUCACUUUUAUUCGUUGACUAAAGUGUCAGUUAUAUUUCGUCAUCAUCAAAAGUGUCCUGAGAUAACUUCUGUUAUGAAUUGCCGCUAUACAAAUAAAACUGAAUUGAAUUGAA